ACGUAGGGUGCAGGCGUUAAUCGGAAUUACUGGGCGUAAAGCGUGCGCAGGCGGUUUGCUAAGAUAGGUGUGAAAUCCCCGGGCUUAACCUGGGAACUGCGCUUGUAACUGGCAAGCUUGAGUGUGGCAGAGGGGGGUGGAAUUCCACGUGUAGCAGUGAAAUGCGUAGAGAUCGGGAGGAACACCAGUGGCGAAGGCGGCUCGCUGGGCCGGCCCUGACGCUGAGACGCGAAGGCGUGGGGAGCGAACGGGA
rnacentral:rRNA from 1 species